rnacentral:lncRNA from 1 species
GCGGGCGGGGAGGCGAGGGGCGGGGGAGGGGACGCGGGCCGGGGAGGGGAGGGGAGGGGAGGGGAGGGGGCGGCGGGGAGCGCGGACGCGGGGCCGGUCAGGGAGCGGCGGGGCGCGUGUGCAGCCCUCCGAGCGGCCUCCUGCGCGCCGGGGCCCCGCGCCCGCCGCCGCCGCCGCCGCCGCUGCUGCCGCCGCUGCCGAAGCUGAUGCUGCUGCUGCCGCCGCUGCCGAAGCUGAUGCUGCUGCUGAAGCUGCUGCCGCUGCCGCUCCCGCUGCCGCUGCUCCCGCUGCUCCCGCCGCCGCCCGCCGCCUGCAUGCGCUCCAGCCGCGCCGGCAUCCUCGGGGCGCCCUCCCGCCGGGCCUCGCCCCGGAUCAGGGGCCGCGCCGGGCGCCGGGGAGCCGCAUUCCGACACAGGGGUCCCGCGGCGGCGGCUCGGCGCACCUGUUCUUAGCCGGCCCGCAGCCAACCCUCGGCCGGCGCUCCCCGGGAGAGACCAAUCCGAGCGCAGCGCGGAGGGCGAGCGGCCGGGCUCGCCUCCUCUGCCGCCGCCGCCGCCGGGGACCCCAAGUCCGCGAGCCCGGGAGCCGGAGGCUCUGAGAAUGAGAAGCUGAGGAUGCCCGCCUCCUGGGACACCUCCCCAGCACCGCAAGACUGGCGCCCAUGCAGGAGCCAGCGUCCCCUUGUACCCUCAGAGCCUCCACGGGGACGAAGUUUUCAAGACUACAGCAAGAUUUCAUCUGGCAAUUCACAUGCUUCUCACCACUCCCCGAUCAGGUUCAGCGUAAGAGAGAAGAUGGAACAUCAUGAAGUCAUUCCCUCUUUUGUCUCCAGACAUGGUGUCAGAAGUGUCAUCCUGGAGAAAGAGAACACCGCACAUCAAAGUUGGUCCAUCACACCGGGCUUUCAAAGAAGCCAUAAACUGAGUUGCAAAGACUUUGGUUAAGCUAAGCCAAAGGUCAAAUAUCAUUUCUGAAAACACUGGAAUCAAAUAUUUGAUAGAUUUAGAAAAAUAUGUGUCCACAAAGCAAUAGGUACAACUGAUACUGUGACCAGUAAAUUUUUUAUUCUUUCAUGUGAUUAAGGAUAUGAGCAGUGGGAAAUGCACUGAACAAAUAGUUAGGAAACUAACUAAAGGCUGGAAUCCUCACUACUCCAAUAAUUAUAUGAUACUCUGGGUCUCAGUUAUAUUGGCCCAUAAAAUGUGGGAAGCACUGCCUAACUCCAGGAUAAUUAUGAUGCUAACAUGGAAAACAAAUGUAAAUAUAUUUUGCGAAUUUUAAAACAUUGUACAUAUAUUAAAAAUUGUUCAAGUUCUAUCAAUGCAUGUGAUUAGUGAAAAGUCACUAUUUUCAAUGGUACCUUUAUACUGGAUGAUACAGAGGAUAUAUGAAUCUCAUCCUUUAAUAAAUUUUCAAACUGAAAUAUGGAAAAAAUGUUUAACAAAUUUAACAGUUUGUGUCGGGAUUUAUUCUUUUAUUCAGCAGGGCACCUCUCUCCCCCCAGAUGACAAUUGCUCUCUGAUAUAUAUAUCAGGGGUAGGGGCUAUGCCAUUCCUUGAAAACUGUUGCCUUGGACAAGUUUAUUAAAAAGAAGAAGAAGUCCUGUCUCCACUGUCAUUCUUUGCCCUGAGGGAUUGGAGUGGAAGUAAGGAGACUGAUGUUGAUCCUGCCGCUGUCUUAGACUGCCUUCAUUUAGCCCAUAACCCUUUUCUUUGGAAUCUUUUGUAUAAUCUUGUCCAUUCCUCUCAGUGCUGCUAGGGCUGGGGAUUUGAAGCUCAUGUCUUUCACAGCCCUGUUUUCAGUCCUUUCUAUUAGUGGUGGUGGCUUGAUCCAACUGAGUUGAAAGAAAAGUGUAAUAAAUGGGUAGUAAAUGGGUCCUCUACAAACAUGACAGAUUGCUAAUCAGUUCAGGAAUAUUUAGGGAUCUAGUAACUCCACAGACUCAUUUUUAUCAUCAAUUUAUUGAUGGGCUAUUGCAUUAUAUAUUAAAGAACUCUCACAUUAGGAACCUAUAAAAUAAUAUAGUCUACAUACCAGUCAAGGGUUUAUUCUGGAUAUCAACGUAUUUCAUUUUUUGGUAAAGAAAAAUAAUUAGAAUAAUAAUAAAUAUUAAAUGUGAGCAAUAUAAUGGAGUAAGGUCCUCUGAAAAUUCUCUCCUCUAUACAAACGAUGAGAAAACUGGCAAAAAUUGUCAGAAUCAACUUUUUUUUAGAACUCUGGAAAUAAAUCAGAGCAGCAAUCUGGAGAGCAUUUAUUCAAGAUAAAAAUGGCUGGAUCUUGGUAAGAACUGAAAGACUGUCCUAGUUCCAUCCCUCUUUCUCUAUCUUGACAUAGCCUGAAAAACCUAUAGCCUGUAAGCACAGUGAAAACCACCAGACUGGAAGAGGCAAAAUGGACCCAAAGAAAGCUUUUAAAAGCCUUAUUGCCAGAGAAUUGUCAUUAUUUGACCGACUUGGUGGUUCCCUGAGAAUCUAAUUAUGAAGCUGAAUUUAUUUUAUAUGACUCAGAG